GACGAACGCUGGCGGCGUGCUUAACACAUGCAAGUCGAACGGAAAGGCCCCUUUGGGGGUACUCGAGUGGCGAACGGGUGAGUAACACGUGAGUAACCUGCCCUUGACUUCGGGAUAACUUCAGGAAACUGGGGCUAAUACCGGAUAGGAAUCCUUGCUGCAUGGUGGGGGUUGGAAAGCUUCGGCGGUUUUGGAUGGACUCGCGGCUUAUCAGCUUGUUGGUGGGGUAGUGGCUUACCAAGGCUUUGACGGGUAGCCGGCCUGAGAGGGCGACCGGCCACAUUGGGACUGAGAUACGGCCCAGACGCCUACGGGAGGCAGCAGUGGGGAAUAUUGCACAAUGGGCGGAAGCCUGAUGCAGCAACGCCGCGUGCGGGAUGACGGCCUUCGGGUUGGAAACCGCUUUCAGCAGGGGCGAAGCUUGUGGUGACGGUACCUGCAGAGGAAGCACCGGCUAACUACGUG
rnacentral:rRNA from 1 species